UACAGAGGGUGCGAGCGUUAAUCGGAAUUACUGGGCGUAAAGCGUGCGUAGACGGUUUCGUAAGUCGGGUGUGAAAUCCCCGGGCUCAACCUGGGAAUUGCAUUCGAAACUGCGAGGCUAGGGUACGGAAGAGGGAAGCGGAAUUUCUGGUGUAGCGGUGAAAUGCGUAGAUAUCAGAAGGAACUCAGUGGCGAAAGCGGCUUCCUGGUCCAGUACCGACGUCAGGCACGAAAGCGUGGGGAGCAAACAGG
rnacentral:rRNA from 1 species